rnacentral:rRNA from 1 species
UACGAAGGUGGCAAGCGUUGUUCGGAUUUACUGGGCGUACAGGGAGCGUAGGCGGUUCGGUAAGCCCUCUGUGAAAUCGUCCAGGCUUAACCUGGAACAGUCGGAGGGGACUGCUGGGCUAGAGGACGGGAGAGGAGCGCGGAAUUCCGGUGUAGCGGUGGAAUGCGUAGAGAUCGGGAAGAACAUCGGUGCGAAGGCGGCAGCUGGGCCAUUGCUGACGCUGAGGCGCGACAG